rnacentral:rRNA from 1 species
CCUACGGGGGGCAGCAGUGGGGAAUAUUGGGCAAUGGGCGCAAGCCUGACCCAGCAACGCCGCGUGAAGGAAGAAGGCUUUCCGGUUGUAAACUUCUUUUCUCAGGGACGAAGCAAGUGACGGUAGCUGAGGAAUAAGCCACGGCUAACUACGUGCAAGCAGCAGCGGUAAUACGUCGGUGGCAAGCGUUAUCCGGAUUUACUGGGUGGAAAGGGCGUGUAGGCGGGAAAGCAAGUCAGAUGUGAAAACCAUGGGCUCAACCUGUGGACUGCAUUUGACACUGUUUUUCUUGAGUACUGGGGAGGCAGACGGAAUUCCUAGUGUAGCGGUGAAAUGCUUAGAUAUUAGGAGGAACACCAGUUGCGAAGGCGGUCUGCUGGACAGCAACUGACGCUGAGGCGCGAAAGCGUGGGGAGCAAACAGGAUUAGAUACCCGUGUAGUC